rnacentral:rRNA from 1 species
GACAGAGGUCCCGAGCGUUGUUCGGAUUCAUUGGGCGUAAAGGGUGUGUAGGAGGUCGGGUAAGUCAGGUGUGAAAUCUCACAGCUUAACUGUGAAACUGCGCUUGAUACUGCCCGGCUAGAGGAUCGGAGGGGGUAACGGAAUUUAUGGUGUAGCAGUGAAAUGCGUAGAUAUCAUAAGGAACACCGGUGGCGAAGGCGGCAUCCUGGACCAAUUCUGACGCUGAGGAGCGAAAGCCAGGGGAGCAAACGGG